GAUGAACGCUAGCGGGAGGCCUAACACAUGCAAGCCGAGCGGUAUUGUUUCUUCGGAAAUGAGAGAGCGGCGUACGGGUGCGUAACACGUGUGCAACCUGCCUUUACCUGGGGGAUAGCCUUUCGAAAGGAAGAUUAAUACUCCAUAAUAUAUUGAACGGCAUCGUUUAAUAUUGAAAGCUCCGGCGGAUAGAGAUGGGCACGCGCAAGAUUAGCUAGUUGGUGAGGUAACGGCUCACCAAGGCGAUGAUCUUUAGGGGGCCUGAGAGGGUGAUCCCCCACACUGGUACUGAGACACGGACCAGACUCCUACGGGAGGCAGCAGUGAGGAAUAUUGGUCAAUGGGUGCAAGCCUGAACCAGCCAUCCCGCGUGAAGGACGACUGCCCUAUGGGUUGUAAACUUCUUUUGUACAGGGAUAAACCUACCCUCGUGAGGGUAGCUGAAGGUACUAUACGAAUAAGCACCGGCUAACUCCGUGCCAGCAGCCGCCGUAA
rnacentral:rRNA from 1 species